AUGCCAAGACUGAGUUGGCCUCCUGAGCUAAAGCUUGGUACAAAGAUUCAGGGUCAAGCACAUUUGUGUAAUAAUGUUGUCUUCCUCUCCUCUCUGCCUCUUUUCUUUCUCCCCUCUCUCUCUCUCCAUCCCUCUUCCCCCCUCUCUCUCCAUCUCUCGCUUCCCCUCUCUCAUCUCACUGCUUUCUCGUUUCCCCUCCUCACUCGCUCUUCCUCCAUAGAUGUCAGCAUGGCUCAGAUGUUUACUAUAUCAGACAGCGAGUCAGAGCCCUCAGAGGAGAUAGGAGAAACCAAAAAGGACCAAUCGUCUGCCGGAAAGGGGAUAACUGGCGGUCCAAUAGGCCACGCCCUCACUGUGCCUGAGAUGAGACUGGCAGAGGUGCUACUGCAAGGUCUUCCGUUGCAGCCCAAAUCAACCCCCUACACUUCCAGGCGGUCCCAAUUCAUUCCCUACCCCCUCGAUGUUAGGGGCUGGAUAGGCCUUUCUCUGUGA
rnacentral:lncRNA from 13 species